AGCACUUGUGUGUGUUUUUGUUUGUUUGUUUGUGGACAAAGACUUACAGACAAGUGCAGAAAAAAAAUCCUCUUUUGCAACCCAAAACUCAUUUUUCAGUGUGAGUUUUGAUACAGAUAAGAAGGAACAUG